ACGGCGAGUGAGCGGCAAAAGCUCAAAUUUGAAAUCUGGUACCUUCGGUGCCCGAGUUGUAAUUUGGAGAGGGCAACUUUGGGGCCGUUCCUUGUCUAUGUUCCUUGGAACAGGACGUCAUAGAGGGUGAGAAUCCCGUGUGGCGAGGAGUGCGGUUCUUUGUAAAGUGCCUUCGAAGAGUCGAGUUGUUUGGGAAUGCAGCUCUAAGUGGGUGGUAAAUUCCAUCUAAAGCUAAAUAUUGGCGAGAGACCGAUAGCGAACAAGUACAGUGAUGGAAAGAUGAAAAGAACUUUGAAAAGAGAGUGAAAAAGUACGUGAAAUUGUUGAAAGGGAAGGGCAUUUGAUCAGACAUGGUGUUUUGUGCCCUCUGCUCCUUGUGGGUAGGGGAAUCUCGCAUUUCACUGGGCCAGCAUCAGUUUUGGUGGCAGGAUAAAUCCAUAGGAAUGUAGCUUGCCUCGGUAAGUAUUAUAGCCUGUGGGAAUACUGCCAGCUGGGACUGAGGACUGCGACGUAAGUCAAGGAUGCUGGCAUAAUGGUUAUAUGCCGCC
rnacentral:rRNA from 1 species